AUUGAACGCUGGCGGCAGGCCUAACACAUGCAAGUCGAGCGAGCGGCGGACGGGAGAGUAAUGUAUGGGGACUGCCCGAUAGCGGGGGAUGACGACUGGAAACGGUAGCUAAUAACGCAUACUAUCGGAUAACCCAUAUGGGAUUAGCUAGUAGUUGCGGUAAUUGCUCACCUAGGCGACGAUCCCUAUCUGGUCUGAGAGGAUGAUUAGCCACACUGGGACUGAGACACGGCCCAUCCUCCUACGGAGGCAGCAUUGGGGAAUAUUGCACAAUGGGCGCAAGCCUGAUGCAGCCAUGCCGAGUGUAUGAAGAAGGCCCUAGGGUUGUAAAGUACGUUCAGUCGGGAGGCGUUACCGACAGAAGAAGCACCGGCUAACUCCGUGCCAGCAGCCGCGGUAAUUC
rnacentral:rRNA from 1 species